rnacentral:lncRNA from 1 species
AGUUGCACCGAAAGGUGCUUUUUUUAAAUGGCCUUUGUGAUAAUUCAACUAAAUUAGAUCGAGGCAGAUAUGCAGAAGGAUUUCAGAUACUUGAGUUUUCAGAUAAUUGUCUGCUGUCUUCAUACACUGUUGAUAUUGUUUUUUGGAGCUAACAAAAUCAUGCUGUGAUCUUAGGAUGUUCUGCAAAAAGGAACGUUAUAGGUUCUGGAAGGUAUAGGGAUAAUCAUUAGGUCUGAAAAAAAAUAUAAGGAUAAUUAUUUCGUCUGGAAGAAAUUACGACAGAUGACAAAACUGUUGCUCGUGGUAUAUAUAAUGUGCGUUAUAAAACUAUCUAAAGGCGCACCAGUUUCAACUGACAAGCCCCGGUUCCAGAAAGAUAUGGAGACUUGUGACUGGGGUUGUGAUUCAAAUAUUGAUGAAAAACUAAAAUUGUGUGAAGCAUUUUGUUACCUUGAUACUCAGCGUAAUCAAUUUAAACAUGAUAUGGAAACUCAGUGUCAAGGUACAUGUGCUACAAAGUAUAUAAAUUGCUUUGAAGGAUGCCCAAAACCUUCCACCAAGAAGACUUCUCUUAUCUGAGCGGUGUUUUGCUAAUCACUCGUGAAUAACUCUAUUCCUUUGACAAAAAAUAUCAAUACGUUAUACAAUCAUAUUUCAAACGACCGCAACGAAUGAUUUACACGUAACAUGAGUUUUGUUGUAGUUAUUUUUAAAGGUUACAUCAAUAAUCGUAUAAGGAAAUCAGAACAAUAAUUAAACGUUUACAUUCUGAGGAUAAAAGCAAUUUUUGGCCGCCGCCUAGUGACUCAAAAGGCGUGGACACAAAGAUUAACAUUAAUUCUACGGUGUUGAAUAGUUCUUUGGUAAUUCUUUUGGGACCAUACCGUAAACGCAUCAUGAGAAAAUAGUUAAACUUUGCAAAUUUUCGGCUCUACAAAACGUGUGGAUAGCACGCUUUUUCACGAAUUUGAAAAGAAAAAAUAUUAGAAUUAUACAAGCAAAUAGUAUGUUAGUUGCCAGGUGUUCAGUUGUUAUUCAAAAGUACAUGUUAGAUAUGAUACAUGGACAUCGAAUUCAAAUAUUCUCUCAAAUGGUGGGUGUCUUUUUACUAAAUGUUGUCAUAGAAACAGUGAUUUAACGAACUGUCACGAUCGUACCCUCAAACGAGUUCAAUAGCGUUUUACACAAAUGUAUCAAGAAAACUCUCGUAGCCUUUACUUGGGGAACAUUCAUAAGGAAAGGGAUACAAUGGUUACAUAUUAUUCAUGGACAUGUGAUCAUGUAUGUGACGCCUUCGGUGUACCAUUGGAUUAAAGAAUUUUGUUACAUUUGCUGAUGGAUUAUAGACAAGUAAUUGGUAUCACAAUUGGUAUAUAAUGCAAACUACUCGUUACAGGUUUCUUUUAAUAUUAUUAUGUACAAGUUUCUAUAAUUUGGUUGUCCACUGAAACACGGUUUGUCAUGAUAAAUUCUUAUAUACCUAAAUGAUAUAUUAUUAAGUAUGUACUACGUUCAUGUAUCAAACAUAGUAAAAGCAUUUAUAAAAAAGAGAAAGACUUAAAAACAGCUAAUAAAUCCAAGUUUGACUACUUUAAUGGACAAAGGAAACAAAAGAAAAUAUAUAUUAAAAGACUCUUCUACUUC